AUGGGCGAGGUGCUCUUCUUCGUCGGGUUCCAGUCCACCGGCCCAACUGUGGCCUGCACGAUCGGCAACAUCGUUCCGGCCCUCACCUUCGCCAUAGCCGCCGCGCUGAGGAUAGAGGCGGUGGCUGGCACGCUCGUCUGCGUUGGCGGCUCCAUGAUGAUGCCCUUGUACAAGGGCCCGCUCCUCAAGGUCCCGGCCUCCCCUGUCCACUGGCGCUACGUGGAGCACGCCGCCAUCGCCGCCGCGGAGGUGCCACCGGCCAGUACUGGCCUCGGCGACGCCCUCGUCAUCCUCAGCGCCGCCGCCUGGGCCGCCUGGCUCGUCAUGCAGGGGAUCGUCGGCUGGGGUGUCACGUUCGCAGUGAUGACGUGGUGCAUCCAGGUGCGCGGCCCGCUCUUCGUCUCCAUGUUCAACCCGGUGGUGCUCAUCGUCGUCGCCGUUCUCGGGUGGGCUGUCCUCGACGAGCAGCUGCACGUCGGAAGUGCUAUAGGUUCUGCUCUCAUUGUUGGCGGGCUGUACAUGGUGUUGUGGGGCAAGGGGAGUGAGAUGAGCAGACCGGCGGCCCUAGUUGACGGCAAAAGUGAAGCGGAGAUCACCGCGAAGGGCCCGGAGCCGAAGAGUGACACCGCCGAUUCCUCCUCCUUGCCGGUUUGA
rnacentral:rRNA from 1 species